rnacentral:rRNA from 1 species
AACGUAGGAGACGAACGUUAUCCGGAGUUACUGGGCGUAACGGGCGUGUAGGCGGUUUGUUAAGUCUGGCGUGAAAGCUCUCGGCUAAACCGGGAGAGGUCGUUGGAUACUGGCGAACUAGAGGAUGGUAGAGGCGUGUGGAAUUCCGGGUGUAGUGGUGAAAUGCGUAGAGAUCCGGAGGAACACCAGUGGCGAAGGCGACACGCUGGGCCAUACCUGACGCUGAGGUGCGAAAGCGUGGGGAGCAAACAGG